UCGAGCCGUGGACCAGCCGGUAGAGGGGCCAGCUGAGGGGAUGGAGGGGGAGGGGGCCGAGGCCCCGGUUCACCCCGGGGAGUCCCCUGUGGAGGCAGCGGCCCCGGGGCCCGUCGCGGAGGAGCAGGCUGCCGCAGAGGAGGCCGGGGGCGAUAGGCCCCCUGAGGAGCCGGCGGGGGAAGAGGCUGCCGCGGAGCAGGAGGAGGCAGAGCCGGAACACAGCGCGGGCACGGAGCCUCCUUCCCCGGCCGCUGAGGGAACCGCCCCGGAGGCGCCCACCAGCGCCAGCUUCACGGAGGGCGAGGCCGAGGAGCCGCCCCCGCUGCAGGUGGGGGAAGUGCUAAGCCCCCGGGCGAGCUGGGGGGAGGGGCGGCCGAGCCUGCCCCUGCUGGAGCUGGGCAGCCCCCUGGAGGAGGAGGAGGACCGGGGGGAGGCGGCGGCGGCGGAGCAGCGGCAGCGCGCGGAGCUGACCGAGCAGUACCGGCUCCUGCUGGCCGAGCGCGAGCGCACGCGCCGGUACAACGGGCACCUGCAGUUCAAGCUGUACGAGCUGUUCCGCAAGAAGGGCGAGGAGCCGCCCCGCGCGGAGCUGGAGGAGCUGGUCUCCGACAAGGAGCAGCGCUACGCCCGCUACCUCGCCAUGCUGGAGGAGCUGAGGGGGCAGCUGGCCCAGCGGCGGGCCUGGUACCAGCUCCAGAUAGACGCCCUGGCGCAGCGCUGCACGGAAAAGCUGGACCGCGUGAAGGCCGACUGGCUCGCCUUCCAGGCCCGCAAGAAGGAAGUGACCCUCUUCACCAUGGGGCGCCAGCUGGGGGGGAAGGAAGCUGCCGUUAAGGAGGUGGAGCACAUCCAAGCCAAGGAGCAGCGCAAAGAGAACGAGAUGAGUGAGGUCCGCCUGGAAAACAUCAAGCUGCAGCAUAAGAUUGAAAAGCUUGAAGCAAGCCUGAAAGCUCAAGAGGAGCUGGCAGAAGGACUGCACCUGAUAGACUUUGAGCAACUGAAGAUAGAGAACCAGACCUACAAUGAGAAAAUUGAGGAGCGCAAUGAAGAGCUUCUGAAGCUCCGGAAGAAGAUCACUAAUACAGUGCAAGUCCUGACCCAGCUUAAAGAAAAACUGCAGUUUGUAGAAGCUCAGAAUCAAGACCAGAGGGCCCAGCUGAUAGAGACUGAGGCACUGGUGGCACAGAAAAGAGAGAUACUGACCAAAACCAAACAGGCUAGGGAUAGUUUACGGGUACACAACUUGAAAUUGCGACAGAAGUGUGGGCUUCUUGGAAGUGAGGCACUGCUGCGGGACUUCGAGAACAAGGUGGAUGCUGCUGAAGUGCUAAGUCAGCGGCUGGAGAUGCUGAAACGUCACCAUGCUGGACUUACCCUUACUUGCAAAGCUGUAAAGAAAAAAAUCAAGGAAGCAAAAUCCUUUCUACCAGAAUGAGGAUUUUGGAGAAGAAAGUGAGGUUAAAAGACAGAAGAACAAAAAUUGAGCACUUAUAUUGGUUUAUUUGUCUCUGAAAUUGUUUUUCAUGUACAGGCUUUGAAUAUAGUAAAAGGGUGAAAUAGUCUCAAUUUCACAUCUAAUGAAAACUUUGUUUCUGAAGUUUUAAUGUUAUACAUUCCAUCAGGAGACUGCCCUGAAGUUCUGCCUUUUUCAAUGGCUCAUGAAGAAACCAAGCAUAUGUGGCUAAUUACUCUAUCAUAUUGGUAUUUUAAGUAUGCAUUUAAAACACACACAGGCACUAUUCUGAUCGCUAGAGCAUCACCCUCUGGUGUAAGCAAAAAACUGCAAGUCAAAUACCCUCAGAUUCCAGUCCUGGUUCUGCCACUAACUCACUGUGUGGCCUUGGCAGUCUGUUCCCCACAACUCUAAAGUAGGUGUACUUACCUACCUGUGUGUCAGACAUGUUUUCAGGAUUAUAUCUUCAGAGAGUUUUACAAAAAUUAAAGUGAUACAUAUAUUGUAAAUAAUACAAUUUAUCAGGAGCUUGUUUUAGAAUUAAUACAUAGCAAUUGUCUUGUAUUUAUAUGCAGAAUACACUGUACAGGUGCUAACUAACCUAAUUAUCCUCAAGCUACAGUUGUUGAAGCACCAGUGACCUGCAGUGUUUUCCCUAUUGGUCCACAGAAUUAAACAUUUUGACAGCCAAGCAGCAGAGAGGUGAAAGGGAAAUCCAUGAAAAGUUCUCUUAUGAAGAUGUUCACAGAAUGAAAGAGCUGCAGAACUAUGGAUGCUAAUGAAUCCUUAAAUCAUCCCUGUAAGGGAGUUAACUUAUUGGCCACUGGUGGAUGAAGAAUGCUUGCAGAGGGCAGAGCUGGAGAGGGCUCUCUCAGCCCACUCAUAGCAUGCACUAGUCUAGUGAGCUCUGAAGUAGCUUUUCUGAAUAACCUCAACGUUGGGAAAAAGAAUUGAUACCACACAGAAAAAAUUCUCAGUUGGGAGGGAGGAAUUGGGAUCAUAAUGGAAAGCUGACCAUUUUGUUACUGAGAGCAUAAAAGCUGGAAAGAUGACAGUCUCUGAAAACAAUCCCGCACAGGCUUGGAAAAGAUUAGAUGCCACAGUAUGUGUUUUUCAUCUUCUCUAAUUAGUUUGCUUUGCCUUUUUUUUUUUUUUGGCACAAAAUGGUUGAAAGUCACAACAAAACAAUUCAACUGUACUAAAUACCCCAUUCUUAUGUCUGUUGGGUUCUUGUGUUCUACUAAAUUUCCAGUAGUGAUGAGAGACUACAAAGUAGGUUGACUAACUGGGGCAAAACACCACUACCCAAUUUAAUGUCUUCUAGACACUAGCCAGCACACAGAGACAUAUACCAAUAAAUAUAGUGGUCAACAUCUUAAGUGAAAAAGGGAAAUUAUUUAUAAAACCCUGUUUCUUUCAGGUUAAGCUGAGUUACUCAAGGAAAUAGUUAAGCUCUUCUCCAGCUAAAAUUUUAAGUUAAAGACAUCCUGUUGUGCAGUAGAGCAUCUAUUUGGUUUCGUACUCAAUUGUUUUGGUAAAGAUAAUGUCAUAUGAGUAAUAGGCUCCCUGUAACAGAAAUUACAGUCUAUCUACUUGAGCCUCAGUAUGAUGAUCAAGUUACAGUUCUCUCUCACCAUAGAACAAGCUUCAUAAACACCAUCUUCUGUUGUACUUACUACUCCAGGAGAAUAGUAUCUGUUAUUCCUAUUUUUUGGUGUAUGUUCCAAAGCCCUACCAGUGUAGUUGGAUUUCCUUUAGUCAUAAGGACAUAAAAAUGGCUAUCCUGGGUCAGACCAAUGGUCCAUCAAGCCCAGUAUCCUGUCCUCUGACAGCGGCCAGAGUCUUCUUACACUUUGUUCCUUUGGUCUUAAGCCUCAAGUAAAAGAAAAAGUGUCAUGUAAGCCAUUUUCUUUUAAGACUUAAGCAGCAAAGGCUAACAUUCCUUUCACUUUCAGGUACAUAUGGCCUAGGGGAGGAGAGGCUAGUAGGCACGGAAAAGCAGCUGCUCAGUGUGGAGGUUUGAGAAUAGUGGAAGAAUGUAGGGAGCAAAUGCACUCUGCAGCUGUUAAAAACAAAUAUUCACUUAAUCUUAUGCAACUUCCUUGGGACAUAAUGAGGAAAAAUUCCCAAUGUUGUGAGAACAAACAGUUACCACUCUGGUAUUCCAAAGCCCGUCUUUCCAGAGGAAAAUGAUUAGAAUUUGAAACUGUAACCAGAGGUCAGCAACAUGUCCAUACAUGGAUACAAGUGUCCAUGGUAAAAAUUUUGAGGUCUGGGGAGGUGCUCACUUCAGGCAGCUCCCCAACAAGUGUCUCCCCCGUGCUGUUGCUGGCAGAGGCGCUGCCAGGUGCCUCUGCAGGAACCCUGACUCCAUCCCUCCCAGCCCAUUGGCCAGAAACCACAUCCAAUGGGAGCUUUGGGGGCAGUGCCUGUGGAGAGGGCUGUGCGCAGAGCCGCCUGGCCGUGCCUUCGUGUUGGAGCCGGAGAGGGGACGUGCCGCUGCUUCUGGGAGCUGCUUGAGGUAAGCGCUUCCUGGCGUGUGCACUACUGACCCCCUUCCACACCCCAACCCUCUACCCCAGCCCUGAUCCUGCUCUCUAAACCCUUCAUCCCCUGCCCCUCCCCAGGGCCUGCACCCCCAGCUGGAGCUCUCACCACUCCCCAACCUCCUGCUCCAGCCUGGAGCCCACUCCCAUCCCCAUAACCUCUCAUUUCUGGCCCCACCCUGGAACCCACACCCCCAGCGCAGAGCCCACACCCCUUCCCACACUACAACUCCUGCCUCAGCCCAGAGCCCCUUCCCACCCCUCGCCAAUGUCCGUCACUAUGUCCAGUAAUUUUGUCAAGUGUCCAUUGUGCUAUACAGGGGUGCUGACCCCUGACUGUUACAUGAGACUCAGGAGAUCCAUGUACGACUGUUCCCUAUAGGAAAGUACAAUAUGGCACCAUACAGGAACUAUUAAAUCUGAAAAUUCCUUUCUUUGUAAACCUUAUGUGCUAGUUGAAAAAAAGGAAGCAAUUCCAAAUAUUUUCAAGCAGACUGGGAUUAUAGCAGUCAGAACAGGGAAGGGAAAAUAAACAACUUUUAAAAAAACACUAUGAAAUUGUAGCAUAUGCAAAGUUGGGGUUUCUGUUUCAUUCAGUGAAUGGAGUCAGGAAGAGGAGUUGAUG